rnacentral:rRNA from 1 species
AGAGUUUGAUCCUGGCUCAGGAUGAACGCUAGCGGCAGGCUUAACACAUGCAAGUCAAGGGGCAGCGGGGACUUCGGUCCGCCGGCGACCGGCAAACGGGUGCGGAACACGUACACAACAUACCCUUUACUGGGGGAUAGCCCGAAGAAAUUCGGAUUAACACCCCAUAGUAUACUCUAGAGGCAUCUCUUAGGUAUUAAAAACUUAUUGGUAAAGGAUUGGUGUGCGUCCCAUUAGAUAGUUGGCGGGGUAACGGCCCACCAAGUCAGCGAUGGGUAGCUGGUGUGAGAGCACGACCAGCCACACGGGCACUGAGACACGGGCCCGACUCCUACGGGAGGCAGCAGUGAGGAAUAUUGGUCAAUGGACGCAAGUCUGAACCAGCCAUGCCGCGUGGAGGAUGACAGCCUUCUGGGUUGUAAACUUCUUUUAUAUGGGAAGAAAAGUACGGUUUCUACUGUAUCCGACGGUACCAUAUGAAUAAGCACCGGCUAACUCCGUGCCAGCAGCCGCGGCAAUACGGAGGGUGCAAGCGUUAUCCGGAUUUACUGGGUUUAAAGGGUGUGUAGGCGGAUAUUUAAGUCAGAGGUGAAAUCUCCGAGCUCAACUCGGAAACUGCCUUUGAUACUAUUUAUCUUGAAUUUCGUUGAGGUUGGCGGAAUAUAUCAUGUAGCGGUGAAAUGCAUAGAUAUGAUAUAGAACACCGAUUGCGUAGGCAGCUACUGAACGAACAUUGACGCUGAGGCACGAAAGCGUGGGUAGCGAACAGGAUUAGAUACCCUGGUAGUCCACGCCCUAAACGAUGAUUACUCGACAUACGCGAUACACAGUGUGUGUCUGAGCGAAAGCAUUAAGUAAUCCACCUGGGAAGUACGUCCGCAAGGAUGAAACUCAAAGGAAUUGACGGGGGUCCGCACAAGCGGUGGAGUAUGUGGUUUAAUUCGAUGAUACGCGAGGAACCUUACCUGGGCUAGAAUGCCAUUUGACCGCUAGUGAAAGCUAGUUUUGUAGCAAUACACAGAUGGCAAGGUGCUGCAUGGCUGUCGUCAGCUCGUGCCGUGAGGUGUUGGGUUAAGUCCCGCAACGAGCGCAACCCCCAUCUUCAGUUGCCAGCACGUAAUGGUGGGAACUCUGAAGAAACUGCCGUCGUAAGACGUGAGGAAGGAGGGGACGAUGUCAAGUCAUCAUGGCCUUUAUGCCCAGGGCUACACACGUACUACAAUGGGGAGGACAAAGGGCAGCGACUUGGUAACAAGAAGCUAAUCUCAAAAACCUUCUCUCAGUUCAGAUUGAGGUCUGCAACUCGACCUCAUGAAGCUGGAAUCGCUAGUAAUCGCGCAUCGGCAAUGGCGCGGUGAAUACGUUCCCGGACCUUGUACACACCGCCCGUCAAGCCAUGGAAGCUGGGUGUACCUAAAGUCGGUAACCGCAAGGAGCCGCCUAGGGUAAAACUAGUAACUGGGGCUAAGUCGUAACAAGGUA